CCUACGGGUGGCAGCAGUGGGGAAUCUUGCGCAAUGGGCGAAAGCCUGACGCAGCGACGCCGCGUGAGUGAAGCAGUAUUUCGGUAUGUAAAGCUCUAUCAGCAGGGAAGAAAGAAAUGACGGUACCUGACUAAGAAACCCCGGCUAACUACGUGCCAGCAGCCGCGGUAAUCCGUAGGGGGCAAGCGUUAUCCGGAUUUACUGGGUGUAAAGGGAGCGUAGACGGACAUGCAAGUCUGAAGUGAAAGGCGGGGGCCCAACCCCCGGACUGCUUUGGAAACUGUAUGGCUGGAGUGCAGGAGAGGUAAGUGGAAUUCCUAGUGUAGCGGUGAAAUGCGUAGAUAUUAGGAGGAACACCAGUGGCGAAGGCGGCUUACUGGACUGUAACUGACGUUGAGGCUCGAAAGCGUGGGGAGCAAACAGGAUUAGAUACCCUUGUAGUC
rnacentral:rRNA from 1 species